rnacentral:sRNA from 1 species
AGGGCAUGACUUCCCUCUUAAGGUUGUUGUAAGGUAGAGGAGAAAAGAUUCAUAGUUGUUACUGUGCAAACAUCAUGGAGCCCCUUGAUAACAAUAACUGUUAUUUAUGGAGCACCCACUAAUGUAAUAUGCUUAUUAAUUUACAACAUAAUUUUCUUUUUUUUUACAACAUAAUUUUCA